GUACAAGCUCCGAGACAAUAAAACGAUGGCGUUCGUCGAGCGACGUCUAAAAGCUUAUAUUCCCACUAAUAAAUUAUUUUGUCGAGGUGACAUGACACGUGCUCGACAACAAAAUAUUUACGUGGGAUUACCGCGAACAAUUUUGCGCUUCAAAAGGGGAAAUUUUCGAGCCGUCUCGAGAUCGUCUGAUGCAGGUCAGGUAUGCGAUCGCGUUUCUAGUGCCCAUGGUACUCAUGUACCAUAAAAAUUGCUCAACAUUGAGACAGGAGUGACGUGUGAACACAACGGGUGAAUUCUACCUGUCAAACCGGAUAUAAGUCAUCCGGCAUGUACAAGAAUGUCGUCAGACUCUAUUAAAGUGCUUCGCUUCCUAAUCCAAAACGAACUGAACGGGUUCCGCACUCAAGAAGCGUAAUUCGAGUCAGGUAGAUAUUGCCGGACCGUUGUUAAUACCAUGACCAAGGGGCAAAGAUGACCGCGGACCGGAGUUAAGGUGUCGGAUUAGUGAACGCCCGAUCUGGACCGGAGUUGAAGUUCUCCGGAGUGACUAAUGCGAUGAGGACUGAAUAUUUUAUGAGCCGUCCCUGGAUUUAAAAUUCGCAAUCUGAUACCCAACGUCACCGUUCAUCCAGUAACCCAGCGUCCAGUAGCGGUAGGAACAACCCACAACUAGUAUUUAGAUCAAAUUGAGAAAAAAAAAGCAAUUGGAAAACACAAGAUAAAAUGGUAGAAAACAUAACUGAUUUUGUCUUCAGCUCUGAACUA